rnacentral:rRNA from 1 species
GUCUACAGCCAUACCACCCUGAACGCGCCCAAUCUCGUCUGAUCUCGGAAGCUAAGCAGGGUUGGGCCUGGUUAGUACUUGGAUGGGAAGCUACUUACCAUAAGCAAUUUACAAACCUCAAUGCAGAAAACA